rnacentral:tRNA from 1 species
GCGCUCGUAGCUCAGUUGGAUAGAGCUGGUUCUUCGUAGGUCCCGUGUCGCCGGUUCGAGUCCGGCCGAGCGCCCCA